UACAAGGAUUCCCUUAGUAACUGCGAGUGAACCGGGAUGAGCUCAAAUUUAAAAUCUGGCGGUUUCACCGUCCGAGUUGUAAUCUGGAGAAGCGUUUUCCGCGUCGGACCGUGUACAAGUCUCUUGGAACAGAGCGUCAUAGAGGGUGAGAAUCCCGUCCAUGACACGGACUCCCGAUGCUUUGUGAUACGCUCUCAAAGAGUCGAGUUGUUUGGGAAUGCAGCUCAAAAUGGGUGGUAAAUUCCAUCUAAAGCUAAAUAUUGGCGAGAGACCGAUAGCGAACAAGUACCGUGAGGGAAAGAUGAAAAGCACUUUGGAAAGAGAGUUAAACAGUACGUGAAAUUGUUGAAAGGGAAACGCUUGAAGUCAGUCGCGUCGAACGGAGCUCAGCCUUGCUUCUGCUUGGUGUAUUCUCCGUAUUGAUGGGUCAACGUCAAUUUCAGCCGGUGGAGAAGGGCUUAAGGAAUGUAGCGUUGUUUCGGCGACGUGUUAUAGCCUUAGGUCGUAUGCAUCGGCAGGGAUUGAGGACCGCAGCACGCCCUUGUGGCCGGGGGUUCGCCCUACGUUCGUGCUUAGGAUGUUGGCAAAAUGGCUUUAAGCGACCCGUCUUGAAACACGGACCAAGGAGUCUAACAUGCCUGCGAGUGUUCGGGUGGAAAACCCUUGCGCGUAAUGAAAGUAAAAGUUGGGAUCCUUCGUAAGGGGGUGCACCGACGCCCGGCCCUGACGUUCUCUGACGGUGCUGCGGUAGAGCAUGUAUGUUGGGACCCGAAAGAUGGUGAACUAUGCCUGAAUAGGGUGAAGCCAGAGGAAACUCUGGUGGAGGCUCGUAGCGAUUCUGACGUGCAAAUCGAUCGUCAAAUUUGGG
rnacentral:rRNA from 2 species